rnacentral:rRNA from 1 species
AGUUGGUAAGGUAAUGGCUUACCAAGGCCACGAUCAGUAGCUGGUUUGAGAGGACGAUCAGCCACACUGGGACUGAGACACGGCCCAGACUCCUCCGGGAGGCAGCAGUGAGGAAUUUUCCGCAAUGGGCGAAAGCCUGACGGAGCAAUACCGCGUGAGGGAUGAAGGAUUUUGGUCUGUAAACCUCUUUUCUCAAGAAAGAAGUUCUGACGGUACUUGAGGAAUAAGCAUCGGCUAACUCCGUGCCAGCAGCCGCGGUAAUACGGGGGAUGCAAGCGUUAUCCGGAAUCAUUGGGCGUAAAGCGCCUGUAGGUGGUUUAAUAAGUCCGUUGUUAAAGACUAGGGCUCAACCCUAGAAGAGCAAUGGAAACUACUAGACUUGAGUAUGGCAGGGGUAGAGGGAACUUCUAGUGUAGCGGUGAAAUGCGUAGAUAUUAGAAAGAACACCAGUGGCGAAAGCGCUCUACUAGACCAUCACUGACACUCAGAGGCGAAAGCUAGGGUAGCAAAAGGGAUUAGAUACCCCUGUAGUCCUAGCCGUAAACGAUGGAUACUAAAUGUUGUAUAUUUCUUACAGUAUUGUAGCUAACGCGUUAAGUAUCCCGCCUGGGGAGUACGCUCGCAAGGGUGAAACUCAAAGGAAUUGACGGGGGCCCGCACAAGCGGUGGAGCAUGUGGUUUAAUUCGAUGCAACGCGAAGAACCUUACCAGGGCUUGACAUACUACGAAUCUUUUUGAAAGAAGAGAGUGCCUUCGGGAACGUAGAUACAGGUGGUGCAUGGCUGUCGUCAGCUCGUGUCGUGAGAUGUUGGGUUAAGUCCCGCAACGAGCGCAACCCUUAUUUUUAGUUACCAAUUUAUUGGGUUCUCUAGAAAGACUGCCGGUGACAAACCGGAGGAAGGUGAGGAUGACGUCAAGUCAGCAUGCCCCUUAUGUCCUGGGCCACACACGUGCUACAAUGGUUAGAACAAAGAGUUGCAAGUUUGCGAAAACAAGCUAAUCUCGUAAAUCUAAUCUAAGUUCAGAUUGUAGGCUGCAACUCGCCUACAUGAAGUUGGAAUCGCUAGUAAUCGCUGGUCAGCCAUACAGCGGUGAAUCCGUUCCCGGGCCUUGUACACACCGCCCGUCACACCAUGGGAGCUGGUCAUGCCCGAAACCGUUAGCUUAA